AACGAACGCUGGCGGCAUGCCUAACACAUGCAAGUCGAACGAGACCUUCGGGUCUAGGGGCGCACGGGUGCGUAACGCGUGGGAACCUGCCCUUAGGUUCGGAAUAACUCCCCGAAAGGGGUGCUAAUACCGGAUAAUGUCUUCGGACCAAAGAUUUAUCGCCUUUGGAUGGGCCCGCGUUGGAUUAGCUAGUUGGUAGGGUAAAAGCCUACCAAGGCGACGAUCCAUAGCUGGUCUGAGAGGAUGAUCAGCCACACUGGGACUGAGACACGGCCCAGACUCCUACGGGAGGCAGCAGUGGGGAAUAUUGGACAAUGGGCGAAAGCCUGAUCCAGCAAUGCCGCGUGAGUGAUGAAGGCAUUAGGGUUGUAAAGCUCUUUUACCCGGGAUGAUAAUGACAGUACCGGGAGAAUAAGCCCCGGCUAACUCCGUG
rnacentral:rRNA from 1 species